GUUCGGGCUGUGCACGACCGGGCUCCGUGGCAAACCCGGCCACCAGGCGCUCCCCAUCGAGCCCUCCGUCUGGGCCUGGCUCCAGACGGGGGCCCCGGGCUUCCUCCGGGCCGGGUCACAUCUCCUCUUUUUACGUUAUUCAUUGGAGUUCAUCUUCAACAUGUCAUGGUCUAUUAUGACAAGAAGUUGAACACCUGGCACUGCCAGUGCAACAAAACACGACGGUCAUGUCCACACAAAUACAUCGCACAGUGGCACUUUUUCCAGGAGUUUCCUCAUACUUUUAAAAAAGUCAGGUCCAGUGAAUACAUCCCAGGGGACCAACGCAUGGAAAGUGUCACUCUGGCAAACAGAAUGGGGCGGAGGAUGUCACAACCAACCAGAGAGAGAAGACCUCAACCUGAGAAAACAGAUUAGCGACUACCCCUGAGAGUUUCUGCACCAUCUGCCCUGGGACUGUUCCUCUCAGUAAUCCAAGUCUGACAACGGCAAGGGCCAAAAUACUCACCAGUGAUGGUGUUGUGAAUGAUGUUUCUACAUUUUGCAAGAAAUGUGAGGACUGUGGCAUGCUCUACCGUUACCAGGAGUUCAAGGAUGGGGUUCCUAACUUCAAUGAUCAUCAUCUCCUUGGACUGCAUUUCUGUCUGUUAUUGAGGUCCCAGCUCCAGACUAAUCAAGCUGUUGGAAGCGCUGUCCAGUCCCUGGAGCAACUGACCGAGACAAAGUUCCCUCCAGUUGACAGCAUCAUGCAUGGUUACCUUCAUUUUGACCAGUCACAGCUACAGUUUUAGCUGUUGUCAUGAUCCGCUCCUGGUUUUCCCAUUUACCCUCCUGCCACCCUGAUCUCCCCUAAUUAACCAGACCACCUCCACCUGUGAUCCCUCUAUAUAAAUCCUCUCUCUCCACUCAGUCUCUGCCAGAUCGUCUCUCGUACUCACAGAGCUUUCCCGCAACUCCAGAACUAUUCUUCAACGCUGAUCCUGCCUGCUUCAGACCUCUCGCCUGUCUGACCACCCGCCUGUCGUCGAGUCCCUGCCGGCCUGUCUGCUUCCCUGUUUCCUGCUCCUCGUCUGCCUGGCUGCCCUCCUGUUGCUGACCCCUCGCCUGUCUGACCACCCGCCUGUUGUCAAGUCCCUGCCGGCCUGUCUGCUUCCCAGUCUCCUGCCCCUUGCCUACCUGUCUGCCCUCCCGUUGCCGACCCCUUGCCUGCUCACUCCUCGUCUUGUUCCGGUAAUCUUGGAAUCCGUUUCUGGACAAUAAAACCGUUGAACACCGGUCUCGGUCUGUGCUGUUCUUGGGUCCAACCUCACGUCCCAUUACAGCUGUUUGUUGCGGUGACCACCCACCCACUGUGGUAAAGGACCUUCAUAAGAAUGGCGUUUUCCAGCUGACGGGUACAUUCUUUUUGCACUAAAUACAAAUAUAUUUCUAUGUCGACAUUGUCAGUCUCUCAUUUAUGCACUUGUGAUCAUGUU
ensembl:lncRNA